GGAAACGGGGAGCGGGUGGGUAGCCUGAGGGAGUUCGACUCCUGAGGUUCCCCAAAGCGCUUGUUUUUCAUGACCUUGCUUUGAUUCAUGCCUCCUAGUUCUUAAUCAAAGGUAUGGAAACAGACCUUAGAGAAGAACAAGUGUGUUGUUCAGUCAUCUGCUGGAACGGUUUACUGCUACAAGACUUAAGGAAGAUGAACACAAGAAAGAAAUAUGGCAACUAAAGCCCUUUUUGACCACAUGUUCCAUAUGAUCUUGAAGGAUAUCCAAGCUGGAAAAGACUCAGCAACAACCCACACAC